ACUCUACCUAGCAGACUGGGGAGCCAGGAUCCGAACUGCCAGGCUCCAAAACCUUCAGUACGUUGUAAUGACAAAUGGGUUGAUCUCCUUCACCCAAGAAUGUAUUUUCCUAGAGAUUUCUCUAGAAAGAAUGUUAUAUAAUUGGUUUUGAUUUUUUUUUUCUUUUUCUGUCUUAAAAAUUACACCAGCACUGGGUACGGUGGUGCACACCUGCAAUCAGCCCAAUGAUUCAGAAGGCCAAGCAGGAGGAUCACAAGUUUGAGGCCAGCCUGAGUAAUUUAGCGAGAUCCUUUUUCAAAAUGGAAAGGGCUGGACUGGGGAGUCAGCUCCAUGGUAGAGUGUUUGCCUAGCAUGCAUGAGGCCCUGGGUUUGAUCCCCAGCACUACAGAAUUAAAUAAAUAAAAUGUGAAAUAACAAAAACAAAAAAAAGCUAUGGUUGUGUCUCAAAGGUAAAAUAUCCUUGAGUUCAAUCCCAAAUACCGAAAAAAAAAAAAAAAGCUAAUUUCAAGAACACAUGCAAACAACAGCUGCAGCUCUUGAGAUUAAAAUGUUUCACCAGACUAUAGUGUUACAGCAAUGUACACAGAACCUUGAGAAGCUUUGCUGCCCCUGUUAUUUCUGUUGAGCAGGUGAGGAAUUUUCAGGAGGGAAAGUGCUUUAUUUAGACUUGUAAAAUAUUUGUGAUAUUUGUAAAGUUGAUGUGAAAAAAUAAUUUCUGAAAGUAUAUUGUUAAAUCCUUUUAGUAAAGGAAAUUUAGUUGAAGGUCCCAAUGGUCUGUAAAAUGUGAAGAAUGGUGAGUAGGAGAGAUCAAAGGAAAUAAUUAGUAAUGGCUACCCUCUAUUACUCAAAGGAAAUGUUUUUAAGUAGCUACUUUUUUAUGAACUAUUAAUUAUUGUGGAAAAAAAUUUAAAAAGUUUGAUAGAAAUUUGAUAAUCUAAAAUAUUUGCCGGCUGUGUUGAUAUAUCUUUGCAAAAUGGUUCAUUUUUUUUUCCAGGUUGGUUUAUACUCAAAAUUUUAAAAAGGUUGAGAUGUUAUAAAUGUAGAAAGAAUAAAAGACUGAAAUAAGAUAAAAUUUUCUUCUACUCCAAAAUGCCCAGACCACACACUCAUAUGUCAAAAGGAGAAUUAACUUUGAUUUUAUUGUACUGGAAAUAUAGAUUAACAUUGUAGUUGAUAGGAUUUGAUGUUCAUGGGUUGCUGAUUUUUGUUUUGCUAAACAAAUAAACAUUCCACCACCAGCAUCACCUCCCCUGUUCUUCCCACCCCCAACCCCAGGAAUAGAAAUCUGCAUUCACCCCCAACCGCCACUGGGGUACUGGGAAUUGAAACCAGGGGCACUUUACCAUGGAGCUACAUCCCAGCCCUUUUUUAUUUUGAGGUAAAAUCUCACUAAGUUGCCCCUGCUGGCCUCAAACUUGCACUUUUGAUUUUCCUACUUCAGUCUUCCACAUUCCUGGGAUUUCAAGUGUAUACAAUCGUGUCUGGCAUCAAUAACAUUUUUAUGAAAUGUCCACUUACUUGUUUUAGCAGACACUUAAAAAUUACAUAUAGUGGGAUGGGCCUUUACACUGAACAAACAGCUUCAUGAAAAACUAUCCAGUUCUCACAUUUCCAUGGAUGAGGAGUACCACUACCUCAAACGUACAAAGCAGGAUUGCUAGAACCACCAGAGGGCACUCUCACAUAGGAUUCAAUUUGAACAUCUCAUCCUAAGAGUGACUGCUGAAAGCAAUUAGUAGAGAUUUGAGAAUACAUUCGUUUCUGCAUAUGAAAGAAAACAUAGUACCCUUGACUUUCUGAGUCUGGCUUAUCUCACUUAGAGAUCACUUUUCUGAUCACUUAUCAGAUGUUCUCAUUAUAUUCUCCUGCAAAUGACAUUAUUUCCUUCUUUAUGGUUGAGUAAAUCUCCACUGUGU
rnacentral:lncRNA from 1 species